rfam:Picea glauca, whole genome shotgun sequence.
GGGUAUAUAGCUCAAACGGUAGAGCGCUCACUUUGCAUGCGAGAGGUACGGGGUUCGAUACCCCGCAUCUCCA